GCCCGAAUCGGGUGGUGCGUUUCGGGGGUUUCAGGCCUUCGUCGUUGAGCCGGUCGGCGAUCUGCCGGGUGCUGUGCCCGGCUUCGGCG
rnacentral:tRNA from 1 species